GAAUUGCUGAGGAGUCCAACAACAGGACGAAACGGCCUUCCAGUGC
rfam:Schistosoma mattheei strain Denwood, Zambia genome assembly, scaffold: SMTD_contig0022921